UCGCGGCGGUGGCACCGCCGCCGGUCGGUGGCGUCGACCUGUCCCGCUGCCAGGGGCGUCCCCGAGGCUGCGGGGAGCGGCCGCUGCCCCGGAGGCGGUGGGGACGAGGCGGGCUUCUCGCCGCGGGACGGCGGGUGGGCAGAAGGGGCUCAGCCGCUCCGUAACGCGGGCCCCUCGGCGGGGGCUGCCGUUUAAGCUGCCGAGGGCUCUGGGCCGCCUUGUACUUCGCGUAGAGGCGCCGCGUCUAACGAGGGAGCGCGAUCUGCCCCAUCUGUCCCCUCCAGCCCCGAGUGCUGUCGUUCUGUCCCGCCUUUGCCUACCCCCAGCGCCGGGUUCCCCCCUCCUCAGCCGUGGGGAGCCUCUUCGGGCUCGGGUUUGUUUUGGAGCCGGCUGGAGGGGAGGAGCGAUACCAGCAGGAGCCAGAUGUCGAGCUCUUUUGUUUUCAGAAACUGCUUAAUAAGCCCUCUGGCUUCUCCCCCCUCCUCAGGUAGGAAGAUGCCUUUGUGCGUGCCGGAGACUCGCUGUGAAGGCCAUAGAAGGGAAGGUUUAGAAGGAGUCAGCCAUUCAGGACAGAGAGGGCCCUCGGUCCUGGCCAGGGCUGGGCAGUCACUAUGCACAGGCCUUCUUUUUGUUCGACCUGGUGGUCGUAGCCUUCCUCAGUGUAAAUACAACGUCUCCCAGCUCCUAAAUGCCCUAUUGAGUUGUUUACUCUGCUUCAAACACAGAAGCAAUCUCUUUGGUAUGUUUCAAGCACGCAGCCUUUCAGCUGAGAGUUCUAAAGGCUUUUUAUGGUUAGUUGUGAUUAUAAUGGUAGGAGUUGCAAAGCCCUGCUGAGGAGGCUUGUCAUUAAUGAGUAUUACACUGUGGAAUGCUUUCCCGUAUCCUUGUUUUGCCUUUUCUGUUGGGGUGGGCUUAGGUUUCUUUUGGGAUUGUGUUAUACACUGAGUUACCAUGUCACAACCUCCAAGAAAAAGAUGGGCCUUGAUGUACCUGUUGCAGAGUUUCAUAUAGGUGUACCUGGUUAAACUUCAUAUAGAUGUACCUGCCAAUGUGUUCUUUUUUACAGGCUAAUUUAAAACAAUGUGUUCAUUGCUUUCUACUGUUAGAUCUGUAGGGUAGGCUGUGUAGCUGAACUAGCUGCCUAGUUAAUAGGAGUGUGUGGAAAAGUUCUGUA